rnacentral:rRNA from 1 species
UGGGGAAUAUUGGACAAUGGGGGCAACCCUGAUCCAGCAAUGCCGCGUGUGUGAAGAAGGUCUUCGGAUUGUAAAGCACUUUCGACGGGGACGAUGAUGACGGUACCCGUAGAAGAAGCCCCGGCUAACUUCGUGCCAGCAGCCGCGGUAAUACGAAGGGGGCUAGCGUUGCUCGGAAUGACUGGGCGUAAAGGGCGUGUAGGCGGUUUACACAGUCAGAUGUGAAAUCCCCGGGCUUAACCUGGGAGCUGCAUUUGAUACGUGUAGACUAGAGUGUGAGAGAGGGUUGUGGAAUUCCCAGUGUAGAGGUGAAAUUCGUAGAUAUUGGGAAGAACACCGGUGGCGAAGGCGGCAACCUGGCUCAUGACUGACGCUGAGGCGCGAAAGCGUGGGGAGCAAACAG